GGAGAGAGAGGGGGUAAGAGGGAGAGAGAGAGUAUAAGUGAGCAACAGUCGGUUUAUGGCUCAAUCUCAUAAGCAAUAAGAGCCACCAAAGACUUUUAUGAGCAAGGUGGUGACAUAACAAAAGUGAGGUUUGGGAGAUCUGGCUUUCUAAAAUGAAUCACCAAGACUUCCUUAACUCUUGCCAGGAGGCAAGAAGGCCAGGGAAAGACUUUGAGAUGUUAGCAGUCAGGGACAGGGUCCAG